UAGGGAAUCUUCCACAAUGGGCGAAAGCCUGAUGGAGCAACGCCGCGUGUGUGAUGAAGGGUUUCGGCUCGUAAAACACUGUUGUAAUAGAAGAAUGACAUUGAGAGUAACUGUUCAAUGUGUGACGGUAUCUUACCAGAAAGGAACGGCUAAAUACGUACCAG
rnacentral:rRNA from 1 species